rnacentral:rRNA from 1 species
UACGGGGGGGGCAAGCGUUGUUCGGAAUUACUGGGCGUAAAGGGUUUGUAGGUGGCCAACUAAGUCAGACGUGAAAUCCCUCAGCUUAACUGGGGAACUGCGUCUGAUACUGGUUGGCUUGAGUGCAGGAGAGGAACGCGGAAUUCCAGGUGUAGCGGUGAAAUGCGUAGAUAUCUGGAGGAACACCGGUGGCGAAGGCGGCAUUCUGGACUGCAACUGACACUGAAAGACGAAAGCCAGGGGAGCAAACGGG